CAUGGCAAGAAAUAAAUCUUCCUAUCUUACCUCAGGCUAAUUCAGCAUAAAGUAUAUGAGACAAGAAUUUACAGUUCAAUUUGCAGCUUGCUUAUUGAAGAGCAACAUAUUCAUUUCAGGAGCAGGCUCUAAUUUUAGAUCAGGAUUGAAGGUGCUAUGAAAACAAGAAUGCUGCAAUGAACAGUAGGGCUUUUCAAGAUCAAUCCAAGUAUAGUUCUUGAACUACAGUACCCAAAAGAUAAAAGGAACCAUGGAAAAGGCUUUAUUGUGGUAAACUGUACCCAUUGCAGUGGUGAAAUCGGACAAUAGAAGCGAGGGAAAACUGUUUUUUCCAGGGAUCACAGGGUAUCGGGGUGAAAGGGCUUGAGGGUACCUCACAGGAAGGAAUUCCCAACUGUGCCUUUCUGGGUUCUCAAAGGAGUACUGCACUUGGGUAGUGGCAGCAUCUACCAAUCCAAGAGAAAUUGGUGCAUCCCACUAGGAAUGAAAUAAUGCUAUGUGGCCUCUUGGUCUUUAUCAGUGGGUUAGCGUGAUGAGUUCCUCCUCGGUGCCACCUGGAACUGGGGUAUAAUUGAGCCCCGUGACCCCCAGUCUGGGGUCUCUUUCAUGUUGUACUGCUGUGACAAGCUGCAAAGCCUUCCAGCCUGCACUCUCAUCAGCAUUCCUACAGAUGGAGCCAGCAGCAACCAGGACUGUUUUCAGUAUCUAGGGGUGUUCCUUUCCAUUGAUGCAACACAGAACCAGCUUGAGCCCCGCCCAGUAACCUUGGAAAAUUACGCACCACCCAUGAGCGGACUUUAAUGACUACACCAGAACCCGACCCUGAAACCUCACUACUCAUGAGGAAGACUGAUGAGCAUGAUGGCCUCUUUUUUUCUGCUCCUCCUGGAAGAGGAAGGUGACUGUAGCUCAUGGGAGUGGCCAGCAGACAAGUUGAACAGAAAAGACGUUGCACAGGGAGAAGCUUUUCAAAGAUGGUGAUGGCUGUAUCAUAAGAACCAGCAUCAUGACUGUGUGACUUGGACUUCAGAGGAUAUAUGCUUCAAGCUCUGGGUGCUGACCUGUGUUUAGAAAGGUUAUUAAAUGUUGUUAUUGCCAUAGGUUAUGCUUCGCGAUGUCUGAGCCUAACCCAGGAAAAUUUUGCACAAAGAAUGACCUUGGUAAAUGCUGUGCAAAGUACUCGAGCCCCUGACAGUGUUUUAAAGAAAAUGACCACACUGGAGGAUACCGCUUAGCACGUUAUAUUGACCAUCUGGUCUGCACAAAAAAAGGUUACAGAAUCUUGCUUAGGAAAAAGAAUACACCUCUACCUGGAUAUAAUGCUGUCCUCAGGAGCAAAAAAAAAUCUUACCGCAUUACA